rnacentral:rRNA from 1 species
UUGACGGGGCCCGCACAAGCGGUGGAGCAUGUGGUUUAAUUCGACGCAACGCGAAGAACCUUACCAGGGCUUGACAUCCCCUGACCGCGUAUGAAAGUACGUUUUCACCCUCGGGUGACAGGGAGACAGGUGGUGCAUGGUUGUCGUCAGCUCGUGUCGUGAGAUGUUGGGUUAAGUCCCGCAACGAGCGCAACCCCUACGUUUAGUUGCUAACGCGUGAAGGCGAGCACUCUAGACGAACUGCCGUUGACAAAACGGAGGAAGUGGGGAUGACGUCAAAUCAUCAUGCCCCUUAUGUUCUGGGCUACACACGUGCUACAAUGGCCGGUACAGACGGACGCAAAGCCGCGAGGUGGAGCAAAUCCUAAAAAGCCGGUCUCAGUUCGGAUCGGAGUCUGCAACUCGACUCCGUGAAGCUGGAUUCGCUAGUAAUCGCGCAUCAGCCAUGGCGCGGUGAAUACGUUCCCGGGCCUU